rnacentral:misc_RNA from 1 species
UGUGGGAGCGGGCUUGCCCGCGAUGACGGCCUACCUGUCGAUAAUGAUGUGACUGACAGAUCGCUAUCGCGGGCAAGCCCGCUCCCACA